rnacentral:ncRNA from 1 species
UAUAACCACAAGGGGAGCCUUGGCUGAGAUUGGACGAUUGUCCUGACCCUUUGAACCUGUUAGUUAAGACUAGCGUAGGAAUGUGGAUGACAAAUAAA